CUGGAGCUACAGGAGAAGGAAGAGCGGGGUAAGACCCUCGGUCUCCUUGGAGGUGCUCCUUCUGCCGGUGACGGAGCGGCUGGGACAUCUGUGCCGUGCUGUGGGGCUUCGGAAAAUCCUAGGACUUCGUUGGAUCUGGCGUUCCAGUCAGGUUCCGAGACUUCGAACACGGCCUUCCAGAACACGGUUUAGAUCUUCACUCCGCCCUGAACUCUGUGCACCAGCGGCCCUGCCUCGCUCGGAGCCCCCAGCGCCACCCGUCGGCUCUGCCGUGCCCCGUCCAGAAAGGACUAAGGUGGCCGCUGCUCUUUUCCCAAGUGAAUCCUCGGGGAAGGAGGCGUCCAUCCACACCUCCAUGUCUGCCCUCAUCCUGGGGCAGGCUCUGGGCCCCCAUAUCGGAGGCACGUGUCUCAUGUACAUAGUGUUUACUUUGAGGGACAUGCUUCCGCUGAAGCUCCCGGUCCACUCUCUUCCACCUAGUUUCAACCGUUCCCACUCAACCCACACGGUCUCCAGGGGCAUCCGUUCUGCGGCUUCCCUCAGUCUCCUCCGUCCCACCGCAGUUCGUAACCCCACUGCACUUCCUGUUUUGUAGGGGACUUAAAAAAAUACACACCAGUACCAGAGUCUCAACUAAAUGAGAAACCUAUCCACAGUAUUAGUCAGUUACGCUGGAGGGACGAUUCUAAAGAUUAAAGAUUAAAGAUCGAAGAAGAACCCACUACUCUUGACUGGAUCCUGAGUAUUUGAAAAAAAAAACAAACAACUUAGAAUGGACUUUUUGUGGACAA